rnacentral:rRNA from 1 species
GAUGAACGCUGGCGGCGUGCCUAAUACAUGCAAGUCGAGCGAACAGACGAGGAGCUUGCUCCUCUGACGUUAGCGGCGGACGGGUGAGUAACACGUGGAUAACCUACCUAUAAGACUGGGAUAACUUCGGGAAACCGGAGCUAAUACCGGAUAAUAUAUUGAACCGCAUGGUUCAAUAGUGAAAGACGGUUUUGCUGUCACUUAUAGAUGGAUCCGCGCCGCAUUAGCUAGUUGGUAAGGUAACGGCUUACCAAGGCAACGAUGCGUAGCCGACGUGAGAGGGUGAUCGGCCACCCUGGAACUGAGACACGGUCCAGAGUCCUACGGGAGGCAGCAGUAGGGAAUCUUCCGCAAAGGGCGAAAGCUUGACGGAGCAACGCCGCGUGAGUGAUGAAGGUCUUCGGAUCGUAAAACUCUGUUAUUAGGGAAGAACAAAUGUGUAAGUAACUAUGCACGUCUUGACGGUACCUAAUCAGAAAGCCACGGCUAACUACGUG